UACGUAGGCAGCAAGCGUUGUUCGGAGUUACUGGGCGUAAAGAGUGCGUAGGUGGUGCCCUAAGUCUGUUGUGAAAUCUCCCGGCUUAACUGGGAGGGUGCGGUGGAAACUGGGGUGCUUGAGUGUGGGAGAGGUAAGCGGAAUUCCUGGUGUAGCGGUGAAAUGCGUAGAUAUCGGGAGGAAUACCAGUGGCGAAGGCGGCUUCCUGGCCUGUUCUUGACGCUGAGGCGCGAAAGCUAGGGUAGCAAACGGG
rnacentral:rRNA from 1 species